rnacentral:rRNA from 1 species
GGAAGUAAAAGUCGUAACAAGGUUUCCGUAGGUGAACCUGCGGAAGGAUCAUUAUCGUGGGGCUCCGGCCCUAUCGAGAUAGAACCCUUGCCUUUUUUGAGCACCUGUACCGUUUCCUCGGCAGGCCCGCCUGCCAGUAGGACCCACAAACCAAACCCUUUUAUCAAUCUGUACUUUAGUCUGAUAUAAACACAAUUAUCAAAACUUUCAACAACGGAUCUCUUGGUUCUGGCAUCGAUGAAGAACGCAGCGAAAUGCGAUAAGUAGUGUGAAUUGCAGAAUUCAGUGAAUCAUCGAAUCUUUGAACGCACAUUGCGCCCUUUGGUAUUCCUUAGGGCAUGCCUGUUCGAGCGUCAUUUCAAACCCUCAAGCUCAGCUUGGUGUUGGGUGACUGUCCCGCCUCCAUGGGCGUGGACUCGCCUUAAAAGCAUUGGCGGCCGGCAACAGUGGCUUCGAGCGCAGCAGACUUGCGUACUCGGGCCUGCUGGGUCGGUCCCCCACAAGCCUCUUUCUCCAGUUUUGACCUCGGAUCAGGUAGGGAUACCCGCUGAACUUAAGCAUAUCAAUAAGCGGAGGA